rnacentral:rRNA from 1 species
GACAGAGGUCCCGAGCGUUAGGCGGAAUCACUGGGCUUAAAGCGUGUGUAGGCGGAUCGUUAAGUGCCUUGUGAAAUCCCAUGGCUUAACCAUGGAACUGCUUGGCAUACUGGCGAUCUUGAGCCACUUAGGGGCAACCGGAACAAGUGGUGGAGCGGUGAAAUGCGUAGAUAUCAUUUGGAACGCCAAUGGUGAAAACAGGUUGCUGGGAGUGUGCUGACGCUGAGACACGAAAGCCAGGGGAGCGAACGGG